rnacentral:tRNA from 1 species
GGAGUUGUGGCUCAGUGGUAGAGCAUGUGCCUAGCAUGCACAAGGCCCUGCGUUUGCCCCCAGGACCACCA